rnacentral:rRNA from 1 species
AGUGAACGCUGGCGGUAGGCCUAACACAUGCAAGUCGAACGGCAGCACAGUAAGAGCUUGCUCUUACGGGUGGCGAGUGGCGGACGGGUGAGGAAUACAUCGGAAUCUACUUUUUCGUGGGGGAUAACGUAGGGAAACUUACGCUAAUACCGCAUACGACCUACGGGUGAAAGCAGGGGAUAUUCGGACCUUGCGCGAUUGAAUGAGCCGAUGCCGGAUUAGCUAGUUGGCGGGGUAAAGGCCCACCCAGGCGACGAUCCGUAGCCGGACUGAGAGGAUGAUCAGCCACACUGGAACUGAGACACGGUCAAGACUCCUACGGGAGGCAGCAGUGGGGAAUAUUGGACAAUGGGCGGAAGCCUGAUCCAGCCAUACCGCGUGGGUGAAGAAGGCCUUCGGGUUGUAAAGCCCUUUUGUUGGGAAAGAAAAGCAGCAGGUUAAUACCCCGCUGUUCCGACGGUACCCAAAGAAUAAGCACCGGCUAACUUCGUG